rnacentral:rRNA from 1 species
UACCUGCUAGCUCGAGUGGUAACCGACUAUUAUUGGGCCUAAAGCGUCCGUAGCCGGUUCAGUAAAUAUCUGGGUAAAUCGUGAGGCUUAACUUCACGAAUUUCGGAUAGACUGCUGAACACGGGACCGGGGGAGGUCAGAGGUACUCCAGGGGUAGCGGUGAAAUGUUGUAAUCCUUGGAGGACCACCGGUAGCGAAGGCGUCUGACUAGAACGGGUCCGACGGUGAAGGGACGAAGGCCCUGGGGCGCAAAACCGGAUUAGAUACCCGGGUAGUCCAGGGUGUAAACGAUGUGGGCUUUGUAUUGGAGGUCCUACGUGGGCGUCCAGUACAGGAGAGAAGUUGUUAAGCCCACCGCCUGGGAAGUACGGUCACAAGGCUGAAACUUAAAGGAAUUGGCGGGGGAGCACAGCAACGGGAGGAGCGUGCGGUUU